AGUGAACGCUGGCGGUAGGCCUAACACAUGCAAGUCGAACGGCAGCACAGUAAGAGCUUGCUCUUACGGGUGGCGAGUGGCGGACGGGUGAGGAAUACAUCGGAAUCUACUUUUUCGUGGGGGAUAACGUAGGGAAACUUACGCUAAUACCGCAUACGACCUACGGGUGAAAGCAGGGGAUCUUCGGACCUUGCGCGAUUGAAUGAGCCGAUGUCGGAUUAGCUAGUUGGCGGGGUAAAGGCCCACCAAGGCGACGAUCCGUAGCUGGUCUGAGAGGAUGAUCAGCCACACUGGAACUGGGACACGGUCCAGGCUCCUACGGGAGGCAGCAGUGGGGAAUAUUGGACAAUGGGCGCAAGCCUGAUCCAGCCAUACCGAGUGGGUGAAGAAGGCCUUCGGGUUGUAAAGCCCUUUUGUUGGGAAAGAAAAGCAGCAGGUUAAUACCCCGCUGUUCUGACGGUACCCAAAGAAUAAGCACCGGCUAACUUCGUG
rnacentral:rRNA from 1 species